rnacentral:rRNA from 1 species
UUUAUGGAGAGUUUGAUCCUGGCUCAGGAUGAACGCUGGCGGCGUGCCUAAUACAUGCAAGUCGAGCGAACAGACGAGGAGCUUGCUCCUUUGA